rnacentral:rRNA from 1 species
UAGGGGAGCGUUCUGUAGGCUGAUGAAGGUGCAUUGAGAAGUGUGCUGGAGGUAUCAGAAGUGCGAAUGCUGACAUGAGUAACGAUAAUGUGGGUGAAAAGCCCACACGCCGGAAGUCCCAGGUUUCCUGCACGACGUUAAUCGGAGCAGGGUGAGUCGGCCCCUAAGGCGAGGCUGAAGAGCGUAGUCGAUGGGAACCAGGUUAAUAUUCCUGGACUUUUUAUAAGUGGUGAAGUGGGGACGAAGAAGGCUAGGUGAGCCAGGCGUUGGUUGUCCUGGUACUUGCAUGUAGGGGGGAAGACUUGGCAAAUCCGGUUUUCCAUAACUCUGAGGUGCGAAGUGGUUCUGACCUUUUGGUACAGAGAAGUCAUUGAUGCCCGGCUUCCAGGAAAAGCUGCUAGCCAUAACUUAUAGAGAACCGUACCGCAAACCGACACAGGUGGACAGGUAGAGAAUACUAAGGCGCUUGAGAGAACUCGGGUGAAGGAACUAGGCAAAAUGGUACCGUAACUUCGGGAGAAGGUACGCCCUUUCUGGUGAUGGGAUUUACUUUCAGAGCUGGAGAGGGCCGCAGAGACCAGGUGGCUGCGACUGUUUAUUAAAAACACAGCACUCUGCAAAUUCGUAAGAAGACGUAUAGGGUGUGACGCCUGCCCGGUGCCGGAAGGUUAAUUGAUGGGGUUAUCUUCGGAGAAGCUCUUGAUCGAAGCCCCGGUAAACGGCGGCCGUAACUAUAACGGUCCUAAGGUAGCGAAAUUCCUUGUCGGGUAAGUUCCGACCUGCACGAAUGGCGUAACGAUGGCCACACUGUCUCCACCCGAGACUCAGUGAAAUUGAAAUCGCUGUGAAGAUGCAGUGUACCCGCGGCUAGACGGAAAGACCCCGUGAACCUUUACUAUAGUUUUGCACUGGACUUUGAUGAUGACUGUGUAGGAUAGGUGGGAGGCUGUGAAGUGAGGACGCUAGUUCUCAUGGAGCCGCCCUUGAAAUACCACCCUGUUGUUAUUGAGGUUCUAACUUGGUCCAGUAAUCCUGGAUGAGGACAGUGUAUGAUGGGUAGUUUGACUGGGGCGGUCUCCUCCCAAAGAGUAACGGAGGAGCACAAAGGUACCCUCGGUACGGUCGGACAUCGUACCAAGAGUGUAAAGGCAAAAGGGUGCUUGACUGCGAGAGUGACGGCUCGAGCAGGAACGAAAGUUGGUCUUAGUGAUCCGGUGGUUCUGAAUGGAAGGGCCAUCGCUCAACGGAUAAAAGGUACUCCGGGGAUAACAGGCUGAUACCGCCCAAGAGUUCAUAUCGACGGCGGUGUUUGGCACCUCGAUGUCGGCUCAUCACAUCCUGGGGCUGAAGCAGGUCCCAAGGGUAUGGCUGUUCGCCAUUUAAAGUGGUACGCGAGCUGGGUUUAGAACGUCGUGAGACAGUUCGGUCCCUAUCUGCCGUGGGCGUAGGAAAAUUGAGAGGAGCUGCUCCUAGUACGAGAGGACCGGAGUGGACGAACCUCUGGUGCACCGGUUGUCACGCCAGUGGCAUGGCCGGGUAGCUAAGUUCGGACGGGAUAACCGCUGAAAGCAUCUAAGCGGGAAGCCUCCCUCAAGAUGAGUUUUCCCAUGAAGCCCGUUGAAGACUACGACGUUGAUAGGCAAGGUGUGGAAGCGCAGUAAUGCGUGAAGCUAACUUGUACUAAUUGGCUGAUUGUCUUGACCAUAUAAUCUGAG